rnacentral:rRNA from 1 species
CCUAACACAUGCAAGUCGAGCGGUAGAGAGGUGCUUGCAUCUCUUGAGAGCGGCGGACGGGUGAGUAAUGCCUAGGAAUCUGCCUGGUGGUGGGGGGAUAACGUUCGGAAACGGACGCUAAUACCGCAUACGUCCUACGGGAGAAAGCGGGGGGAUCUUCGGACCUCGCGCCAUUAGAUGAGCCUAGGUCGGAUUAGCUAGUUGGUGAGGUAAUGGCUCACCAAGGCGACGAUCCGUAACUGGUCUGAGAGGAUGAUCAGUCACACUGGAACUGAGACACGGUCCAGACUCCUACGGGAGGCAGCAGUGGGGAAUAUUGGACAAUGGGCGAAAGCCUGAUCCAGCCAUGCCGCGUGUGUGAAGAAGGUCUUCGGAUUGUAAAGUACUUUAAGUUGGGAGGAAGGGUAGUAACCUAAUACGUUGCUACUUUGACGUUACCGACAGAAUAAGCACCGGCUAACUUCGUG